GCCUCUAUGGCCUAAUGGACAAGGCAUCGGCCUCCUAAGUCGGGGAUUGUGGGUUUGAGUCCAAUCAGAGGUG
rnacentral:tRNA from 1 species